GUGGGGAGGGGCAGUUCCUCUUUCCUUCCCAAGCACCGAGGAGGCCCCAGCUCCCAAGGGGCUAAGAAGCUGGAGCAGUGGUGAGGGGGGAGGAGCCGAGCCUCACUCUUAUAAGACCCCCCUUCCCCCCCAGGAAGCAUGAACAGGAAAGACAGCAAGAGGAAGUCCCACCAGGAAUGCCCAGUCAAGACAGGGGGGCGGGGCCGGCCCCGACAGGCCCGCCGCCACAAGACAUGCCCCAGCCCCCGGGAAAUCAGCAAGGUCAUGGCUUCCAUGGCUCUGGGCAUGCUGAACGAGGGCGGCUGCAGUGAAGAUGAGCUGCUGGAGAAAUGCAUUCAGUCCUUUGACUCGGCUGGCAGCCUGCGUCGCGGGGACCACGUUCUCAACAUGGUACUUGCCAUGCACAGCUGGGUGCUGCCUUCUGCCCACUUUGCUGCCCGCCUGCUGACCUUGUACCAGGAGGCCACAGAGAGCACGCAGGAGCUGAGACGGCUGCAGAUCUGUCACCUGGUCAGGUACUGGCUGACCCAACACCCUGAGACAAUGCACCAGGACCCCCAGUUAGAAGAGGUUAUAGGCCGCUUCUGGGCCACUGUGGAGCAGGAGGGUAACUCAGUCCAGCAGAGCCUAGGAGACUUCUCCAGUCGGCUUAGCCCGGGUGGCCCAGGCCCCCCACAUCCCAUUAGCAGCCCAGGCCUGGGCAAGAAGCGCAAAGUGUCCUUGCUUUUCGACCACCUGGAGACUGGGGAGCUGGCAGAGCACCUCACUUACCUGGAGUUCCGGUCCUUCCAGGCUAUCACACCCCAGGACCUGCGGGACUACGUUUUGCAGGGCUCUGUGCGGGGCUGCCCGACCCUGGAGGGAUCUGUAGGUCUCAGCAACAGCGUGUCCCGCUGGGUGCAGGUCAUGGUGCUGAGCCGUCCCGGGCCUGCACAGCGAGCGCAGGUGCUGGACAAGUUCAUCCAAGUGGCACAGAAGCUCCUCCAGUUGCACAAUUUCAACACGCUGAUGGCAGUCACCGGCGGCCUCUGUCAUAGUGCCAUCUCCAGACUCAAGGACUCCCACGCCCACCUGAGCCCUGACAGCACCAAGGCCCUGCUGGAGCUGACAGAGCUCCUGGCAGCCCACAACAACUACGCCCGUUACCGCCGUACCUGGGCUGGCUGCACGGACUUCCGGCUGCCUGUCCUGGGUGUGCACCUCAAGGAUCUGGUGGCCCUGAAUGAGGCACAGCCUGACAGGUUGCCUGAUGGCCGCCUGCACCUGCCCAAACUCAACAGCCUCUACCUGCGGCUGCAGGAGCUGGCAGCCCUGCAGCAACAGCACCCUCCGGGCAAUGCCAGUGAGGACCUUCUGCACCUGCUCACGCUUUCCCUGGAUCUCUUCUACACGGAGGACGAGAUCUAUGAGCUUUCCUAUGCCCGGGAGCCCCGCUGUCCCAAGAGUCUGCCACCCUCGCCCUUCAAGGCGCCCCUGGUGGUGGAGUGGGCCCCUGGUGUGACGCCCAAGCCUGACACGGUCACUCUGGGUCGGCACGUGGAGCAGCUGGUGGAGUCUGUGUUCAAGAACUAUGACCCUGACGGCCGCGGCACUAUCUCUCAGGAGGACUUUGAGCGACUCUCAGGCAACUUCCCCUUCGCCUGCCACGGGCUUCACCCACCCCCCAGCCAGGGGAGCGGCUCCUUCAGCCGUGAGGAGCUGACAGGAUACCUGCUCCGGGCCAGUGCCAUUUGCUCCAAGCUGGGCCUGGCCUUCCUGCACACCUUCCAGGAGGUCACCUUCCGCAAGCCCACCUUCUGUGACAGCUGCAGUGGAUUCGUGAGCAUUCUGCCCACCGUCACCCUGAGGGACCCCUCCUGGAGCGCCCUAACUCUUCACAGCCUGGGCUGGGAAAGCCAACCCUCCCCUGUGGCGCUCACAGCCCCCAAGCCCCAGAUAAUCCCCAUAUUCAGGAAAAUCCUCCAGCCUCAAAUAGUCCCCAUACUUCACAGGGAAGCCUGGUGUGGUUCAGUUCAUGGGGUCACAAAGUCAGAAACAACUGAGUGACUCAACAACAAACACUUCACAGAAACCCUAAAUAAUGGCUGUUCCCUACACCCUGGAUAAUGCUGAAGUCUAGACAAUGCCCAAAUCCCAGACAGUCUCCAUGCUGGAUAAUUGCCAAACCCUGGCUAAUAAGGGCUUUCCAGGUGGCACAGUGGUAAAGAAUCCGCCUGCCAAUGCAGGAGUCACCAGAGACACAAGGUCGAUCCCUGGGUUGGGAAGAUCCCCUGGAGGAGGAAAUGGCAACCCACUCCAGUAUUCUUGCCUGGGAAAUCCCACAGACAGAGGAGUUUGGCGGGCUAAGUCCAUGGGGUCGAAAAGAGUCAGAUACAACUGAGCAUCCACGCACUGGACUGAAUGGGUGACUCUCCAAACUUGAGACAAAUCUCCAAAUUCCUUGAGUCUCCCAGACUCCACAUAGGCCUCUAGCCUUGGGCACUUCCAAAACCUGGAUGGUUUCCUGCAGACAGCCCCUGUCCCUACCCCAAUCACAGCUCUCCCUCUCCUAGCCUAGGUAACCUGUUCUGCUCUCUCUUCCCAGCUUUGGGGUGUCACCAAGCAAGGCUACCGCUGUCGGGGUGAGUGGAGCAUCAGUAGAGAAAGGGAAUCUAGGACCUCCAAGCUGGAAGAAUGGGGGACGUGGACUGGGCCUCUGGCACUAACCUCUGAAUUUCCCCCAGACUGU